AUAGAAUUAAGUUAAUUUAAACUAUUAAUUUUCAAAAUUAAAAAUAAAUUUCUAUA
rnacentral:tRNA from 1 species